CCUCCUGACUGGCGCCGACACUCUGCCUCGCGCAGAGAGUGGGAGGCCGGGAAGUUGUUCAAACUUGAUCAUUUAGAGGAAGUAAAAGUCGUAACAAGGUUUCCGUAGGUGAACCUGCGGAAGGAUCAUUACCGUUAGGCUUCAAAUCGAUGGACACAUCGAUUGGCUAACUACCCUGUGAACUCUCUGAAAGAAUCUUUAGGGGUCGGGCACGUUCCGUUAAAAGGAGAGCACCGCGGGCUUAGGUUGGCGGUGGGCUCCUGCCCCGACAGUGUUUUUUGACACAUUUGUUUUGAAAGACUGAGCACAGUGAGAUGGUGCAAAAGUACCACAAAAAAAAAAAAAAGUGUGACAACUUUUGACGGUGGAUCUCUAGGCUCACGCAUCGAUGAAGAACGCAGCCAGCUGCGAUAAGUAGUGUGAAUUGCAGAAUUCAGUGAAUCAUCGAAUCUUUGAACGCAAAUGGCGCUCUUGGGUUCUCCCAGGAGCAUGUCUGUCUGAGUGUCUUUUUACCUGCAAUGACAUUCGCACGACGAUCGUGCGGCGUUGAGGUUCGUGGCCUUCCUUGCAACGUAAGUGUUAGGCCGCGUGCCUUGAAAUGCAGGAGGAAGAAGGGCUAGAGGUCCGGUGCAGUCGCAUGCGGAUUCAGUUGUUGUGCCGCAGGCGACGGCAGCAGCCGCAUCCUCGAGCCUCCUCUCCCUCGUGACUACUGCUUCCACCUCGGACCUCAGAUCAGGCAAGG
rnacentral:rRNA from 1 species